CCUACGGGGCGCAGCAGUCGAGAAUCAUUCACAAUGGGGGAAACCCUGAUGGUGCGACGCCGCGUGGGGGAAUGAAGGUCUUCGGAUUGUAAACUCCUGUCAUGUGGGAGCAAAUUAAAAAGAUAGUACCACAAGAGGAAGAGACGGCUAACUCUGUGCCAGAACCCGCGGUAAUACAGAGGUCUCAAGCGUUGUUCGGAAUCACUGGGCGUAAGGGGUGCGUAGGCUGUUUGGUAAGUCGUGUGUGAAAGGCGCGGGCUCAACCCGCGGACGGCACAUGAUACUGCGAGACUAGAGUACGGGAGGGGGAAGCGGAAUUCUCGGUGUAGCAGUGAAAUGCGUAGAUAUCGAGAGGAACACUCGUGGCGAAGGCGGGUUCCUGGACAUUAACUGACGCUGAGGCACGAAGGCCAGGGGAGCGAAAGGGAUUAGAUACCCUAGUAGUC
rnacentral:rRNA from 1 species